GAAUACCAAAUCAUACUCCAAUAGGCAACACUCGGUUUGUACGCACUAUGUACCUGACAAGAUAUUUUUCAUUUUUUAAUCAUAAAUAAUAUAAAAUUAUAUGGAUGAUUAAGGGAUAAAAAACUAGGGAUAAAAAACUAGGGAUAAAAAAUUAGGGAUAAAAAAUGAGGGAUAAAAACAUGUAUAAAAUUCUAUAACAAUUUCAAGGGAUAAAAACACAAGGGAUAAAAACACAAGAGAUAAAAAUAGAAGGGAUAAAAACACAAGGGAUAAAAAAGAAGGGAUAAAAAAAGAAGAAACAAAAACAAGCGAUACAUCAAGGGACAAACAUCAAGGGACAAACAUGUAUAAAAUAAAAUAACAAUUUCGCGGGAUAAAAAACAAGGAAUAAAAAAACAAGGGAUAAAAAACAAGGGAUAAAAACAAGGGAUAAAAAAACAAGGGAUAAAAAAACAAGGGAUAAAAAAACAAGGGAUAAAAACAAAGGAUAAAGUUAAGGGAUACAAAUAUGGGAUAAAUUAUGGAAUAAAUUUCUACGAUUUUAAGGAUAAAAAAAAAAUUAGGGAUAAGGGAUAUAAUAUUUGGGUUUAUAUAAUUACCUUUUAAUUUAUUUUCUUAAAUAAAUUAAUAAUUAUAUUUUUGUAAAUGAUCAAUUUGGAUAAAAUCAAUCUAAACUCACAUCAAACUAUAAGUCCUCUGCC
rnacentral:lncRNA from 1 species